rnacentral:lncRNA from 1 species
AUGGGGGCACUGGGACCAGGCCUCCGCCAGAGAGGGGAAAGCCGCGGGACGUGGCAGUGCCGCUGCCCGGUGUGUGUGUCCCCCCCCCCCCCCCCCCCGUGUCAGGCAACAGCCUCUUGGUGGGCCCGGGCCGGGUUUUGGGCGGGGGGCGCGGGGCACGGGGCGCGGGGCCCGGCUGAGGAGGAGGAGGAGGAGGAGGAGGAGGAGGCCGCGGCUGGCUGGUGCUGCUGCUGCUCCCACCGGGGGCCUGUCCGACCCGGACUCUCUGCUCCUCCUGGUGAGCUCCGCCACCGCCUCCUCCCCAGCCCCUACCCCUCCGCCUCCCAAGACCCCCUCACGCUCAAGGCCCCCCCUUUGACGCCGGGUGGCCCGGCUCCACACCCGUUCCCCUUCCCGGGAUCCGGGAUCCGGACACGGGCACAGCAGGGUCCCCGCCCCCGUCCGCACCAGCAGUGGCGGCAGCCCUCCAGGUUCCCGUGCGGGUCCCUCCAGGUUCCCGUGCGGGUCGUUGGCGGGGCUGCAGGGGGCACGCGGCCAAAGGGCCAAAGGCCGCACGGAUCCUGCUCUAGCUCCCGGGGGAAGGGGCACGCGGCCAAAGGCCCGGCGCCCCCUGGCCCGGCCCGCGUGGCUGUGUCACCCCGCUCCAGUCCCGCCCAGACGUGGUGGCCACCAGGGAGGGGCCCGAGCCGAGCCGUGGCUUGGGGCUUCCCGGGCCCGACCGGCCAGGCCCCCAGGCCCCCGGACCCCGGACCCCGGACCUCCGUGGCGCUCCAUCCCGUCCGUCCCCGUCCGUCUCCCCCCCCCCACACUCCCACGUCACCCCCGGGGCCCCUCCACGCGGGAGAGAGAGCUCGGCGCUGGGCUCCCGGAUCCGCCGAGGACUUUCCGCUUGAUGGCAGUAUUGCACCGCGAAUGCCAGCCGGCCCUUCCCCCAGGGCCUCAGCCUCCGCCCUCUGCCAGAGGAAAAAAAGGCCAGGCCAGAAAACUCGGCAGCCCAGCCGGUGUCCGCCGUCCCUCGCCCCAACAUGGCGGCUCUCAUGUCAAGGGCCCGGCCACUGGGCCACUCGGGGCGAGGGUGGAGGGGUGGCGGGGGGCGAGCAAGCAAGCAAGCACGCACCCCUCGCUUCUGAGGCGAGGCUCCCGGGAGCGGAGCCCCGUCCCCUGGGCCGGGGGGCCCAGCUCCGUCUGCCCCCGUGGACCAAUAGUCAGGCACGCGUCUGCCGGUCCAGGGCCCCGGAGGAGGCUCCCGCUCUGGAUCACGCGGACCGACCUCCGUGGAGGCCCCGGCUGUCCCGGUAG